GCACAGCUCAGUGGGUAGAGCACGAGCCUCUUAAUCUUGGGGUUGUGGGUUUGAGCCCCACGCUGGGCG